UACGAAGGGGGCUAGCGUUGCUCGGAAUCACUGGGCGUAAAGGGUGCGUAGGCGGGUCUUUAAGUCAGAGGUGAAAUCCUGGAGCUCAACUCCAGAACUGCCUUUGAUACUGAGGAUCUUGAGUACGGGAGAGGUGAGUGGAACUGCGAGUGUAGAGGUGAAAUUCGUAGAUAUUCGCAAGAACACCAGUGGCGAAGGCGGCUCACUGGCCCGGUACUGACGCUGAGGUGCGAAAGCG
rnacentral:rRNA from 1 species